rnacentral:rRNA from 1 species
AUUGAACGCUGGCGGCAGGCCUAACACAUGCAAGUCGAACGAGUGGCGGACGGGUGAGUAAUGUCUGGGAAACUGCCCGAUGGAGGGGGAUAACUACUAGAAACGGUAGCUAAUACCGCAUACCAUCGGAUGUGCCCAGAUGGGAUUAGCUUGUAGGUGAGGUAACGGCUCACCUAGGCGACGAUCCCUAGCUGGUCUGAGAGGAUGACCAGGCACACUGGAACUGAGACACGGGCCAGACGCCUACGGGAGGCAGCAGUGGGGAAUAUUGCACAAUGGGCGCAAGCGUGAUGCAGCCAUGCCGAGUGUAUGAAGAAGGCCUUUGGGUUGUAAAGUACUGUCAGAGGGGAGGCGUUACCCGCAGAAGAAGCACCGGCUAACUCCGGGCCAGCAGCCGCGGUAAUUC